rnacentral:rRNA from 1 species
AGAGUUUGAUCAUGGCUCAGGACGAACGCUGGCGGCGUGCUUAACACAUGCAAGUCGAACGGAAAGGCCCCUUCGGGGGUACUCGAGUGGCGAACGGGUGAGUAACACGUGGGUGAUCUGCCCUGCACUUUGGGAUAAGCCUGGGAAACUGGGUCUAAUACCGAAUAGGACCGCAUGCUUCAUGGUGUGUGGUGGAAAGCUUUUGCGGUGUGGGAUGGGCCCGCGGCCUAUCAGCUUGUUGGUGGGGUAAUGGCCUACCAAGGCGACGACGGGUAGCCGGCCUGAGAGGGUGACCGGCCACACUGGGACUGAGAUACGGCCCAGACUCCUACGGGAGGCAGCAGUGGGGAAUAUUGCACAAUGGGCGCAAGCCUGAUGCAGCGACGCCGCGUGAGGGAUGACGGCCUUCGGGUUGUAAACCUCUUUCAAUAGGGACGAAGCGCAAGUGACGGUACCUAUAGAAGAAGCACCGGCCAACUACGUGCCAGCAGCCGCGGUAAUACGUAGGGUGCGAGCGUUGUCCGGAAUUACUGGGCGUAAAGAGCUCGUAGGUGGUUUGUCGCGUUGUUCGUGAAAACUCACAGCUUAACUGUGGGCGUGCGGGCGAUACGGGCAGACUAGAGUACUGCAGGGGAGACUGGAAUUCCUGGUGUAGCGGUGGAAUGCGCAGAUAUCAGGAGGAACACCGGUGGCGAAGGCGGGUCUCUGGGCAGUAACUGACGCUGAGGAGCGAAAGCGUGGGGAGCGAACAGGAUUAGAUACCCUGGUAGUCC